GCCUAGCUGACUCAGUUAGUAGAGCAUGCGAUUCUUGAUCUCAGGUCGUGAGCUCAAACCCCGCGUUGGGCA
rnacentral:tRNA from 1 species